rnacentral:rRNA from 1 species
CCUACGGGAGGCAGCAGUAGGGAAUAUUGCUCAAUGGGCGAAACCCUGACGCAGCAACGCCGCGUGGAGGAUGAACGUUUUCGGAUUUUAAACUCUUUUUGUUAGAGAAGAUAAUGACGGUAUCUAACGAAUAAGCACCGGCUAACUCCGUGCCAGCAGCCGCGGUGAUACGGAGGGUGCAAGCGUUAUUCGGAAUCACUGGGCGUAAAGAGCGCGUAGGCGGGAUAGCAAGUCAGAUGUUAAAUCCUAUGGCUUAACCAUAGAACUGCAUUUGAUACUGUUAUUCUAGAGUAUGGGAGAGGUAGAGGGAAUUCUUGGUGUAGGGGUAAAAUGCGUAGAGAUCAAGAGGAAUACUCAUUGCGAAGGCGACCUGCUAGAACAUAACUGACGCUGAGGCGCGAAAGCGUGGGUAGCAAACAGGAUUAGAUACCCCUGUAGUC